CAGGCCGCCCGCCAAGUAUGGUGCCAUUCCUAGUCCCGCGGACGAACUUCGCCCACGCCCCCCACCAAGGCUAUAGCCCACCCGUUUUUUGGCCAUUUUUCCGCUGGGGGGUCUUGGGACCCCGACCUUCGGGGGCUGAUUUUUGGGCGCGGCUGUGCCCGUGGCCUAUUUUUGGCACACGGAGGCCGCCCGCCAAGUAUGGUGCCAUUCCGAGUCCCGCGGACGAACUUCGCCCACGCCGCCCACCAAGGCUAUAGCCCACCCGUUUUUUGGCCAUUUUUCCGCUGGGGGGUCUUGGGACCCCGACCUUCGGGGGCUGAUUUUUGGGCGCGGCUGUGCCCGUGGCCUAUUUUUGGCACACGGAGGCCGCCCGCCAAGUCAGGGGCCAUUCCGAGUCCCGCGGACGAAGUUCGCCCACGCCCCCCACCAAGGCUAUAGCCCACCCGUUUUUUGGCCAUUUUUCCGCUGGGGGGUCUUGGGACCUCGACCUUCGGAGGCUGAUUUUUGGGCGCGGCUGUGCCCGUGGCCUAUUUUUGGCACACGGAGGCCGCCCGCCAAGUCAGGGGCCAUUCCGAGUCCCGCGGACGAAGUUCGCCCACGCCCCCCACCAAGGCUAUAGCCCACCCGUUUUUUGGCCAUUUUUCCGCUGGGGGGUCUUGGGACCCCGACCUUUGGGGGCUGAUUUUUGGGCGCGGCUGUGCCCGUGGCCUAUUUUUGGCACACGGAGGCCGCCCGCCAAGUCAGGGGCCAUUCCGAGUCCCGCGGACGAAGUUCGCCCACGCCCCACACCAAGGCUAUAGCCCACCCGUUUUUUGGCCAUUUUUCCGCUGGGGGGUCUUGAGACCCCGACCUUCGGGGUCUGAUUUUUGGGCGCGGCUGUGCCCGUGGCCUAUUUUUGGCACACAGAGGCCGCCCGCCAAGUAUGGUGCCAUUCCGAGUCCCGCGGACGAACUUCGCCCACGCCGCCCACCAAGGCUAUAGCCCACCCGUUUUUUGACCAUUUUUCCGCUGGGGGGUCUUGGGACCCCGACCUUCGGGGGCUGAUUUUUGGGCGCGGCUGUGCCCGUUGCCUAUUUUUGGUACCCGGAGGCCGCCCGCCAAGUCAGGGGCCAUUCCGAGUCCCGCGGACGAAGUUCGCCCACGCCCCCCACCAAGGCUAUAGCCCACCCGUUUUUUGGCCAUUUUUCCGCUUGGGGGUCUUGGGACCN
rnacentral:lncRNA from 1 species